AAGAUGUAUUAGGUUUUGAUGGUGUUGAAUUUGACGGUAAAGACUUUUUAGAUGCAGCUAUUAAAAGAUCAGUGGUCUUGGAUGUUUUGCCGGUGGAAUUGCUGGUUAAAGAAGAUGUUACAUUAGCAUUAAUUGAAGUCCCAUUAUUAGAAGGGGUAGGAGUAUUCCGAGGACUCGUAGAAGCAGAAGAGGCAGGCGGCUCAAUGGAGGAAAAUGCUAAAGCCUUAGAAAGGCAAUUUUUGGAAGAUGCCUCACGAUCCUGCGUGAGGUAAGUAGAUGAUACUGAAGAUGUACGAACAGGAAUUGGCGAAGCCGUAGAAAGAGCGUUAGAAAAGCCAUGCUUUGAAGAAAAUGCAGGUCCCUGGGUGGACGCGGGAGUCACCAUGUUCAAAUUUCCAGACAAGUUGGAUUUUGUGGUCAAUGAAGGAAGUGAACUUGAAAGGGAAGGUGAGUCACCUUUAGGGGACGAAGGGAGAGAUUUGUCUAAAGAUAAGCCAGAGUUUGAAGGAGAGGACGUAAGGCUAGACGACAGAAGUGUAGAUAUUUCUUGAGAAGGAAGGUGAUGCAAAAGAGUCCGUAAGGUCGUCAGUCGAUCUUGGAGACUUAAGGAUUGAAACCAGCUUUCAAGAGUUUUCAGACGAGUCAAAAAGGAUAUACCAGGCUUAUCAGCUCCUAAAUACUCAUCGAAAUGUUCCGAUAUUGAAUCUUCAUUCUCUUCGGAUAGAAGCUUACCGGCAACUUCUUGAGCAUUUUUUAAGGUUU